AGUUGGACUCAAUUCAGGAAGAAGAAAACUCUGAGCUCCACCACUAAACCACAUGAGCCUGUAGAACUAGAGUUAGACUCUUGUCCUGAUUAUGAGAACAUCUCAGACACUGCAGCAAAGACAGAAUACCCAGAGGAGCAGGAAGACCUGUCAGACUCUUGUCCUGUGUAUGGGAACAUCUGAGAAGAUGAGAUAUGAGAAAUAUCCCUGUGGAGAGCGAGGCUGUGGAGGGUGCGGGGGAUCUGGAAACAUUUACCUUCAACUCCAGAAGAUUUUAUUGUCAGUUUUCAGUAGCAGCAGCAGAUAGGAGUCAGCAGCAGCAUGUAGCAGAACGUUUAGAAGAAUGUGGUGUUGGCAGCUUGAACUGAAUCAUGUCGAGACGUCAAACAUAAUUUUUUGUUUAGAUCAUCUGAUGGUCAGGUGCUGUGUGACUUACUAAUGUAUAUGCAAGCUUAUUUUUUUUCCUGUAGAGCAAG